rnacentral:rRNA from 1 species
AGAUUGAACGCUGGCGGCAUGCCUAACACAUGCAAGUCGAACGAGUAGCAAUACUCUAGUGGCGGACGGGUGAGGAAUACGUAGGAAUUUGCCCUUAAGUGGGGGAUAACCCGGGGAAACCCGGAUUAAUACCGCAUGACCUCGAAAGAGCAAAGUGGGGGAUCGCAAGACCUCACGCUUUUGGAGAAGCCUACGUCGGAUUAGCUAGUUGGUGAGGUAAUGGCUCACCCAAGGCGACGAUCCGUAACUGGUCUGAGAGGAUGAUCAGUCACACCGGAACUGAGACACGGUCGGACCGUACCUACGG